rnacentral:rRNA from 1 species
UCGCCUGUUUAUCAAAAACAUUGCUUUAUUUUAGGCAGUCCCUGCUCAAUGAAAAAUUUAAAUAGCCGCGUGGCGCUAAGGUAGCAUAAUAAUUAGUUUUUUAAUUGAAAGCUAGAAUGAAUGGGUUAAUUAAGUCCUGAGUUUAAUUAUAUUUGUAGAAUUUUUUUAAGGUUGAAAAAAGCCUUAUGUUCUUUUUAGACGAUAAGACCCUAUGAAGCUUUAAACUAGAAAAAUUAUUAAUAGCUUAUUAGUUGUUUAUUUGGGGUAAAGAAAAAUCUAAAUAUUUUACACAUUGGCCUAUAUUGAGCUUUAUUUAAUUUAAAUAAAAAGCUCCUCUAGGGAUAACAGCGUAAUGGUUAUUAGAGUUCUCAUCGAAUUAACCGUUUGUGACCUCGAUGUUGA